GGGAAGUAUGGUUGCAAAGCUGAAACUUGAGGGAAUUGACGGAAGGGCAACACCAGGAGUGGAGCCUGCGGCUUNAUUUGACUCAACACGGGAAAACUUAGCAGGUCCGAACAUAAGUGUGUAAGACAGAUUGAUAGCUCUUUCUCGAAUCUAUGGGUGGUGGUGCAUGGCCGUUCUUAGUUCGUGGAGUGAUUUGUCUGGUUAAUUCCGAUAACGAACGAGACUCAAAUAUAUUAAAUAGAUGCUUUCAGGAUUAUGGUGUAGAAGCUUUUAUAGCCUUCAUGUGCGACCGCAGGAAAAUGCGUUAGUGGUUGAAUGUGUUUAUAGAAGUGGAGCCGAACCGGUUGUUCGUCCUAUUAUAAGCUUCUUAAAUGGACAAAUUGCGUCUAGCAAUAAUGAGAUUGAGCCAUAACAGGUCUGUGAUGCCCUUAGAUGUCCUGGGCUGCACGCGCGCUACAAUUAAAGUAUCAACGUGUAUUUCCUAGACCGAGAGGUCCGGGUAAACCGCUGAACCACUUUCAUGAACCUACGCAGUAGGUUCCGAAGGAUUCGAUUUCCAGGAUGUCCAUCCAAAUAUUGCGAUGUGCCAGGCAUGCCCUAUAUUGGUUACUCCCGUCACUUUAUAUG
rnacentral:rRNA from 1 species